rnacentral:rRNA from 1 species
GAUGAACGCUGGCGGCGUGCCUAAUACAUGCAAGUCGAGCGAACAGACGAGGAGCUUGCUCCUCUGACGUUAGCGGCGGACGGGUGAGUAACACGUGGAUAACCUACCUAUAAGACUGGUAUAACUUCGGGAAACCGGAGCUAAUACCGUAUAAUAUAUUGAACCGCAUGGUUCAAUAGUGAAAGACGGUUUUGCUGUCACUUAUAGAUGGAUCCGCGCCGCAUUAGCUAGUUGGUAAGUUAACGGCUUACCAAGGCAACGAUGCGUAGCCGACCGGAGAGGGUGAUCGGCCACACUGGAACUGAGACACGGUCCAGAAUCCUAAGGGAGGCAGCAGUAGGGAAUCUUCCGCAAUGGGCGAAAGCAUGACGGAGCAACGCCGCGUGAGUGAUGAAGGUCUUCGGAUCGUAAAACUCUGUUAUUAGGGAAGAACAAAUGUGUAAGUAACUAUGCACGUAUUGACGGUACCUAAUAAGAAAGCCACGGCUAACUACGUG